GACCACGUAGCUCAGUUGGCAGAGCAUUGGGCUGGUAUUCCAAAGGUCGUAGGUUCGAAUCCCACCGUGGCCA